GUGUCAGCAGCCGCGGUAAUACGGAGGGGGCUAGCGUUGUUCGGAAUCACUGGGCGUAAAGCGCACGUAGGCGGUCGUUCAAGUUGGGCGUGAAAGCCCGGGGCUCAACCCCGGAUGUGCGCUCAAGACUGGACGGCUGGAGUCCGGGAGAGGGUAGUGGAAUUCCCAGUGUAGAGGUGAAAUUCGUAGAUAUUGGGAAGAACACCGGAGGCGAAGGCGACUGCCUGGCCCGGGACUGACGCUGAGGUGCGAAAGCGUGGGGAGCAAACAGAAUAGGAUACCCUGGUAGUCCACGCCGUAAACGAUGAGUGCUAGAUGUCGGGCAGCAUGCUGUUCGGUGUCGCAGCUAACGCAUUAAGCACUCCGCCUGGGGAGUACGGCCGCAAGGUUAAAACUUAAAUGAAUUGGCGGGG
rnacentral:rRNA from 1 species